GAGAAAAGGCUACCAAGCAGGGACGGACUGGCCAUCUGGAAUUUGGGCAAAUGCCAGAAGGGCUUCCCCCCUAUGGACCCCUGUGGGCCACCACUAAUA